GACAUUAGCUGGUUGGUGGGGUAACGGCCCACCAAGGCGACGAUGUCUGGGGGCUCUGAGAGGAGAAUCCCCCACACUGGUACUGAGACACGGACCAGACUCCUACGGGAGGCAGCAGUAAGGAAUAUUGGUCAAUGGAGGGAACUCUGAACCAGCCAUGCCGCAUGCAGGAAGACGGCCCUACGGGUUGUAAACUGCUUUUGCGAGGGAAUAAACCUGCAUACGUGUAUGCAGCUGAAUGUACCUCGAGAAUAAGGAUCGGCUAACUCCGUGCCAGCAGCCGCGGUAAUACGGAGGAUCCGAGCGUUAUCCGGAAUUAUUGGGUUUAAAGGGUGCGUAGGCGGAGAGCUAAGUCAGUGGUGAAAUACGGUGGCUCAACCAUCGCAGUGCCGUUGAUACUGGUUUUCUUGAAUCUACUUGAGGUAGGCGGAAUGUGGCAAGUAGCGGUGAAAUGCAUAGAUAUGCCACAGAACACCGAUUGCGAAGGCAGCUUACCAAGGUACGAUUGACGCUGAGGCACGAAAGCGUGGGGAUCGAACAGGAUUAGAUACCCUGGUAGUCCACGCCCUAAACGAUGAACACUCGAUGUCGGCGAUAGACAGUCGGCGUCCAAGCGAAAGCGUUAAGUGUCCAC
rnacentral:rRNA from 1 species